UACGUAGGGUGCGAGCGUUAAUCGGAAUUACUGGGCGUAAAGCGUGCGCAGGCGGUUUUGUAAGACAGGCAUGAAAUCUCCGGGCUCAACCUGGGAAUGGCGCUUGUGACUGCAAAGCUAGAGUGCGGCAGAGGGGGAUGGAAUUCCGCGUGUAGCAGUGAAAUGCGUAGAUAUGCGGAGGAACACCGAUGGCGAAGGCAAUCCCCUGGGCCUGCACUGACGCUCAUGCACGAAAGCGUGGGGAGCAAACAGG
rnacentral:rRNA from 1 species